rnacentral:rRNA from 1 species
GAUGAACGCUAGCGGCAGGCUUAAUACAUGCAAGUCGUGGGGCAGCAUGACUGUAGCAAUACAGUUGAUGGCGACCGGCAAACGGGUGCGGAACACGUACACAACCUUCCUUUAAGUGGGGAAUAGCCCAGAGAAAUUUGGGUUAAUACCCCGUAACAUAGUGAAAAGGCAUCUUUUUAUUAUUAUAGCAGCAAUGCGCUUAAUGAUGGGUGUGCGGCUGAUUAGAUAGUUGGCGGGGUAACGGCCCACCAAGUCUGCGAUCAGUAACUGGUGUGGGAGCAGGACCAGUCACACGGGCAAUGAGACACGGGACCGACUGCGACGGGAGGCGGCAGUAAGGAAUAUUGGGCAAUGGACGCAAGUCUGAACCAGCCAUGCCGCGUGGAGGAUGAAGGUCCUCUGGAUUGUAAACUUCUUUUAUAUGGGACGAAAAAAGGUCUUUCUAGAUCAACUGACGGUACCAUAUGAAUAAGCACCGGCUAACUCCGUGCCAGCCGCCGCGGUAAAAC